GAAUUCUCACUUCCACUUCGAAGAAAGACUUACAGUCACGCGCCGCCACAACAAAUAAUGCAUACUUGGGAAACAUAGCAAAUGGUUUGGCCGUCCAUUGAAACUUGAUCUGUGAUUGAAAAUUUCCCACCAACUACAAUUCCUUUAAUUAAAUUUUCUGUGGAUUAUAUGGCGGUACUUCUUCAAGUGCUGAAAUAAAACCAGAUUGCAGUCAUUUUAAAACAUUUGGAACAUAGCAGUGUAAUGAGUAUUUCUCUCCAGAAACAAGGGAAAAAAUUUUUUCCAACAUUCAGGUGGAACACGUUGACAAAACUGCCCCAUAUAUCUUUUGAUAUGUUGAUCUAACAUUGGUUAAACAUUUUUUGAUGUUGAACAUUCUUCACUUCAGAAAACCACAAAAAGAUGUUCUCUGCUUUCGUCGCAUCCCUCAGGAAGACAGGUGGAGAGAAGAACCAACUCCUUCGAUCAGUGUCUUCUACAGGUAAAAUCCGUGACCUGUAUUGAGCAGUAUAUAUAUGAUAUGUGAAACUCCUUAAUGAGGUUUAGUUAUUGUCAUAAUCAAAAUUUUCAUCAUCUUUCAUGUACUUCUCUUGCACUGCUGCCACCGUGGGCUGCUUUGUUAAGGCAAACUCCUCUUCCAAAUCACCAACUUAUCAAAUUAUAUUCAACACAGAAAUCCUGUAGCUCAUCUCCUCCAAAUUAAAUGUGAAAAAUUCUUUAAGAACUAUUUAAAUAAAAAAAAAAUAUGAACUCAAUUAUAUGCACAUGGUAAUAUGGCAUGCAAUUUAAUGUAUGGGAAAAAAAAAACACGUCAUGUAAUUUCCAUUUAGUCACGCACACAAGCAGAUAUCUACAGUACAAUUGACUAAUAAAGCAAGGUAAGAUCACCAAUCAGUCACAUAAUUAAAAAGGAAAAUAUCUUAUUCACGCUACUAUUCUCCUGCAUAACUGCAACACUUACAAAUUUCUAAACACAUGGACUGCAUAACUAACACGUAAAUGAGAAGAACCUUGAGUGAUUUGAUGCCAAUUGUUUAAGUUCUCAAAACACGUUCUUCUCAUCGAAGGGUAUCCAUAGUUCCAUACCUUGAAAAUAAUCAGUUUUCAUUGAAAUCACAUCCAUACGAAAAUCUUGUACCACUUACAUACUUAAACCUUGCUGAUUAUUUAACAUAUCAAACUUCAUUUGGUAAAAGAAAAUAAAUAACAAUCUCUUUCAGGAUAACUAAGUUGAAAUUUUUCUGGGGACCACACAAGAAGCAAAUAAAUGUUGAUGUUGUUUGCCAGAGUUGCAAAUAUGCUAUGACAAAAGUUCUAAGAAGUUUUUCAAUUCAUAUCUCAGACAAAACUAACAAAGGGAUAAAAUGUUGAAACACAAUAAGGAUAUCUGUAAUAAUCCCAAUCAACAGGGCGGACUGCAAUUUUGCUGAAUUCAACUGCACUGGCAUCAAUGCCAGCAAAUAUGUACCCAUUGCUUUUGUCUAUCAAUUUCACAAGAUUUCCUACGCUCUCUUUAUCCUGGAUAUCUAAGGUUGCGAAAUCAACUAGACUGUAAUCUUCUAUCACCUCACAUAGCUCCUUUGUAAGUUUUCUGUACUUAGAAGCACGAGGAUCCUGAUCAAGGUGGCACUGCAAAUAUGAUAAGUUUUGAACAUCUGUGUAGAAAUCGAGGUUGAAAGCUAGUUUUCCAUAGCUCUCAAUUAGAUCAAUCUUAGACAAGACAUUAAUGUGAGCGAGUUCCAGAUGAAGCAUAGUUGAUAAGGAGAGAAGCAAUGCACUAAUAUAUUUCCCAGGAUCACUGCAGAGAUGGGCAUCAACUAAAUGUACAACUGUCAACCUAAGGUUCAACUUCUUGAUGAGUUUCAUUAUAACAUUCUUGGCAUUUGAGUGAAGGAAAAAUAAUUCCACCUGACCAGGAAAAUCAAAAAGAAGGUAGUGAUCUUUCAACAGAGGUUCCAAUUUAGAUUGCAACCAGUCGAUAUUCUUCUCCAAAUAAUCCAUGCAAUACACAAGACCUCCAUUGGGACCAAGAGAAUGCUCCAUCAUUACAUCACUUAGCUUAAUGAGAUCCUCAAUAUUCACAGCACAGUCAUAUGGCAACGAAUCAUUUGCAGGAUCCAAAUUGAUGACUGCAACCUUCCUUCCGAUGAGGCUAAGGAACUGAGACAUGCCAUUGCAAUAAGUGGUUUUUCCAGAUCCAGGUGGACCUAUGACUACUUGCCCAAACACCAUCCUAAUUUCACUCACUAAGAAGUUAAGAUUAAGAUUUAGUAGGAAACCAGAAGAAGAGAGAUGAUUCUGCGAGGAUUAAUCUUCGCGGUUCCGUUUUCUGGGGUUUUAGAAAUCACCAGAUGCUAGGGCCACAGUUUAUUUAAGAAUAAGUAAAAAGUCUAAAAUAACCUUAUAUCAAUCUUCCAGCAAGCUAACUCUCAACCCUUUCCUUUUCAAGUUCCUGCCCAAGCCGCAUGUCAUUCCGACCGGCAAAGGUCACCAAUAACCAAUCAAUAACAUAACCAAGCUACAAGAUGAAGCUAUAAUUUGUAACCAAAACUUUUCUUUUUUAAUCAGCUUCUUUUAUGUGCCUUGCAGUUUGCGAAAAAUACAAAUAGAAGGCGGCCUUUGAAUGACUUUUGCCGAUGUUUCAGAGGCAAAUAAUCAAACAGGCGAUAGACAGCCUUCGUAAACAAUCUUGUUCAAAAAUGAAUGAUAAAACUAUAGGGGCAUUCCGAGAAUCGAAC
rnacentral:misc_RNA from 1 species